CAACAACAAUAAUAAUAAUUAUUAGAUUAACAGUGACAAUAAGAACAAUAAUGUGUCUGGAUGAUAAAUCAGAACAACAAUAAUAAAAAGUGGAUGGAGAAAAUUAUACAAAAAUGUAGGUUUAAGGGGGCCGAGUCUUCCUCGAGGGGUGCAUUUAUAAAUAAUGUAGUGGACAGCCCAGUUGGGUGGGGUUAAGGAGGCUACAUGAGGUAACACAACUAGACAUUGACCAUAUUAUUUCUUCGUUCUGUUGAUGUCUAUGUACAAGUGUCGGUGGUGGCGAGAGCAGUGCAGACAUAUUAACGUAGUUACCAUAACAUAAUUUAUCUACACGCAGGCGGCUUCAGCCGAAAGAUCCUAGCUAGGAAACAUAUUGCGCCAUGCUACUGGCCACUGAGCUAACUGACCGCUAGCUGGAGCUUCACAGCAUGUUUUAGCUUCAAAAUAUACACAAAAACAGAUAUUUUCCAUGUUUUCUCCUCAAUUAUGAGACUAAGAAAAUGUGAACGCGAACAACAGAAACAUCUGUGAAGAGUCAAGUCUUCAUAUUCAAGGAGAUACAGCACCCCAUAUGCUCUGCUAGCAGAGUUUAGCUAGCUGCUCUUCACACCAUGUUUCUAUUAUCCACAUAUUGUUUUCAUGUUCUGCUAAGCUUCUAAUGGAAAGCAAAUGACUACUUAUAUUGUUUACUUGGAAGCUGGGAAAAUCUUUUUUAAAACAAUGUUUGUCACAGUUUGCGUUUUUAUGGUGGGAAGUUUAGCUUAUGCCCCUCUUCCCCUCACUUAGCUUAGUUCAGUUAACAUAUCUACAGCUUAUGAGUCUCGAUGUUUUGUUUCUCUAUCCCUAUUUCACUAUUUAUUUCAUUAAUAUUUAGAAGGGGAAAUGCACUGUUAACCUAAAACAAUGCUGUCUUGCUCACUGCUAGGUGUUAGCUUAGGUGACAGAUGACUCGGCAAUUUUUCGAUUUUAGCUUUGAGUCUCAAACCUGAAUGAGCAUAAAUCUGCAGCAAAGUGACAACUAAUGUUCACCUCCUCUCUAUUAGCUAUCACCAGCUAACUGAUCUCUAGUUGCAUUAACAAGCGCUUGUAAACGGAAACUCUAGCGCAAUGCUCUUGUUAGUUUGUUUACUACUAUCUACAGUUAGCAUUGUUAUUAAUUACACUUAAAAUUUUUCUGCUCACACGAUUUUAAAAUAAAAUAAAUACAAUUUUAUUCUGAAGGAAACAACCUGAAGCCGCCACCGCUUAGAAAAAGCCAAUGUCAGUUAAUGACAGAACAUAAAGGAAGAUGGUAGAAAGAGUUGUGUUUAAGAUAGAUGAAGUAAAUCAGUAAAUUAGUGCAUUUCUGUCAUAAAUAAAUGGACGUCUUUUUUCCCUGUCCUGUUUCUGGACAGCUGUGGGAUGGGACAGAUAUGAAAACAAACUAAAAUCAUCCAAUAAAAAUAAUAGUUUAACUCUUGGUUUGUCAUUUAGAGGAAAUAAAACGGCAUCUUGAAGAUGACUGGUAAGGAAAAUGGAGCGUGACACGUAUAGCAACAACAAAAAUUAGGAACAUCAAGGCAGGCGUGCAAAAACAAAAAAGGCAAAAGGAGGACAAAUGUGUUCAUGUUGAUAGAAAAACAUUUGUUUCUUGCUUUUUGAUCCUUCUUCCAUUUCUACAGUGUGUUUUUGUGUUUUCAUGUGAAUAUUAAAGCAAUGUUAGUAUACAAAGUUAGGAUGUGAGUGUGAAGAUUUUUAUGAAUAUUGCUUGGAUACACAGUCGGGUUGAGAGCUGCUACUCAACCGCUGCAGCAACAUUUACAUUAGAGGGCGAAACAGGAGAAAGUUGAAGAUCCGAGCUGAGGAGCAGCAUACUGUCUGAAUCAUCACAUAAAUGUUGAGUUUGGGAUACUAGUUCCCCAACUAUCUUCAUCUGAAGGCCUUCAUUAUACACAUUUCAACAACCAACGGAAAAAUCGAUAUCGCCAAGAUUAAGAAAGGGGUUUUUAAAACACCUGAAAUUAACCUGCAACCCUAUCAUUAAAUCCAAAUGGACCUUUGUGCCAGUGGUUCCCAACAUUUCUAGCUCAUGCUGAUUUUAAAAUAUAAGGGCUAGUAUGAAGUAAACUUCAUCUUGUCUAAGAGUUAAUGGCCAUGCAGACCUAUUGGACAAAUGUAAUCACAUGCGUAAACAUUCAGGGUAGUCUUAAUGUAUGCCGUCCACUGUCCAGUUUGUCUUUGUCCAUGUGUUUGUAUCAGAGUCUUUAAAAUAUUCUCAUUAUCAAUGAAGUGUCAAGUGGUAAAGGGUUGGGAAAUGUGGAAUUUUAUACUGAAGAUUAACUUUUUUGAAUGUUCUUUCAUAAGUGUAGGUAAUGAUAUUUUCCUUUUAGCUCUAUGACAGUUCAUUUUUUCCAUGCAUGAUAGUAAGACUCUUUAGGGCUUGGCCAUGACUUUCUCAUAUCGUUGGAUCUGGUCUACAUUGAAACUUGGCCUCAGUUUUGAUCCAAAGAUUCUCUACAUUUAGACUCAGUCUUGAAAUAUAACCCCAUGUGGUAAAAAUAUUGCCCUAAAUUUAGCAUUAGUAGACCUUAAAUUUAAACUCUAAAUUGUAGACUAAAAUCUGACUAAAUUUAUACUCGGCUUCAGCUUUACCCUGUUUGGUCUUUUUCUGGAACAAAAUUCAACCUGCUUUAGACUUAAGCUAGAGUUUACCAGAUUUCAUCUUUCCCAGUCUUGGUAAACUUUUUGAGCCCAUUAGAGAAAUGUAAAGAUUUGGUUAAUACUGUGAACCCAAUUUGAUUAUGACUAGAAUACUUAUAAACUAUAGUCUUGUGUCCAGACUCUAUGUUGAUCACAUGUUGCCCAAUUUAAUCAUAUUUGGUAACAGUCUAAGCUCAAAGGUCAACGAUCAAGCCUUUAAACUUGAUCUUGAGUUUAAUUUAUCCACAUUUUGACUGCAUUAUGACUCAAACCUUGGUGGUAGUGCUGACCACCACAUUUACACUUGGUCUUGAGUCAAAUGUAUUCAAGUUUAGUGAGUAUUAUGUACCAAAACUUCACCAGAUGUAGACUUUUUCUAAGCUCAUUAAAUAAUCAGAUUUGAGCCU
ensembl:lncRNA